AUUGAACGCUGGCGGCGUGCCUUACACAUGCAAGUCGAACGGUAACAGGUCUUCGGAUGCUGACGAGUGGCGAACGGGUGAGUAAUACAUCGGAACGUGCCUAGUAGUGGGGGAUAACUACUCGAAAGAGUGGCUAAUACCGCAUGAGAUCUACGGAUGAAAGCAGGGGAUCGCAAGACCUUGUGCUACUAGAGCGGCCGAUGGCAGAUUAGGUAGUUGGUGGGAUAAAAGCUUACCAAGCCGACGAUCUGUAGCUGGUCUGAGAGGACGAUCAGCCACACUGGGACUGAGACACGGCCCAGACUCCUACGGGAGGCAGCAGUGGGGAAUUUUGGACAAUGGGCGCAAGCCUGAUCCAGCAAUGCCGCGUGCAGGAAGAAGGCCGUCGGGUUGUAAACUGCUUUUGUACGGAACGAAACGGUCCGGGUUAAUACACUGGGCUAAUGACGGUACCGUAAGAAUAAGCACCGGCUAACUACGUGCCAGCAGCCGCCGUAACAC
rnacentral:rRNA from 1 species